rnacentral:rRNA from 1 species
CCUGCGGAAGGAUCAUUAUUGAAUAAACUUGGGUUGGGUUGCUGCUGCGCUCUUAGGAGCAUGUGCACACUCACUCCAUUUUAACCACCUGUGCACAUACUGUAGACCUGAGUGAAACUGUUCGAGGAAACUCGGUUUGAGGACUGUUGUGAAAAUCAGCUGUUCUUGCAUUCCAGGUCUAUGUUUUUAAAAUAUACUCCGUAACAAGUUAUAGAAUGUUAAUAAUAGGCCUUCUGUGCCUUUAAAUUAUAAUACAACUUUCAACAACGGAUCUCUUGGCUCUCGCAUCGAUGAAGAACGCAGCGAAAUGCGAUAAGUAAUGUGAAUUGCAGAAUUCAGUGAAUCAUCGAAUCUUUGAACGCACCUUGCGCUCCUUGGUAUUCCGAGGAGCAUGCCUGUUUGAGUGUCAUGAAAUUCUCAACCUCUCUGGCUUGUAUGAGCUAGUCAGGCUUGGAUUGUGGAAGUUGCUGGUUUCUUUGGAGAUCAGCUCUUCUUAAAUGCAUUAGCAAAGUUCUUGCUGACCAUCUUUGGUAUGAUAAUUAUCUAUACCAUUGAGAGUCGGUGGUUCAGGCUCCGCUUGGGAUAUAUCAUAUAUCCAAAGUGUUCGCUCAACCUCUUUGAAGCACUAGCCUUGGCACAGGUGUUAACUCAUCUGAAUGGUGUUGAAUACUUCAGGUUGACGAAGCGAGGCGUUCUUAGGAGCGCUCACGAGAGCAAGCAGCGUCAGAGCUCGUCUUCCAGUUGGGAGGCUUGAUGCACUGAUGUGUGCACUGUCAUAUUCCUGUACCUACCCUAUGCCACUAUGUGGCUUUGAUGGGUCUGGUCAAACCAUGACCUGAACAUAUCCUUACUGGGAGGAUCUAGCUUCUAAUCAUUGUUCUUAGGGACAAAUAUAUUGACAAUUGACCUCAA